GGGUGUUCCCGAGGUUUCAGCUCACUGUGGAAAAGAGCAGAGCAGAGGUUGCCGCGGAAAAGAAAGCUGCAGUAGAGCGGAAGAUGAGUAGAGGGGGCUCUGCCGGCAGGCUGCUGCAGAGGUGGAAGAGACUUCCCCCCUCCAUGCUGCUGCAGCGCAAGCCAAGCUCAAGGCAGCAAGACAUGGCGAAGGAGCCUUCUGCCAGCGCGCUCCCGCCAUGUGCAGGCAGCUCCCGCGGGACGAAGAAAGCAGGACAGAAGGAAGCAUCUACUCCUGCCCAGACCAGCACUGCACUCCCUGCCACAGAGGAGUCUAAGAGGGUGCUGCAGGAGCUCCGGGAAGUGUCUGCAUUGUGGAAAGAAGCAGACCACACGUGGCCCAUGCACAAGCAGCAAGUAGAGCAAGCACAGGCAGAAAGGGCGGCAUGGGAAGGCUGGAGCAUAGGGGCGGACCAGCGUCCACCCCAGCUGCUGGCCAGGCAGAGCAUGCAUGCUCCGCAUCCUCCAGCCCAGCCCAGGGGACAGCAAGUGGAGAGGAGGUGGAGGAAAGAUGUGGAUCCUCUGCCGGGAAGUAAAAUGGGAACAGCAACCAAGCUGGCACUGCAUUCUGAUGCUCGAUGCUCGCGUCGCUCCAGAGGGGAAGGUGCAGCCAAUGGUGGUGACCGCGGUGGAGCUCUCGGCAAGGGGGCUGGGAAGCUGUCCAGAUUUCCACCUGUGAAUGGAAGAUCGUAGAAUCAAAGACUCAUUGAAUGGCCUAGGUUGAAAAGGGCAUUGAAGGUCGUCUAGUUUCAACCCACCUGCUAUGUGCGGGGUCGCCGACCACCAGACUGGGCUGCCCAGAGCCAUAUCCAGCCUGGCAUUGAAUGCCUCCAGGGAUGGGGCAUCCCCCACCUCUCGGCAAGCUGUUCCAGCACGUCACCACCCUCCGCGUGAAGAACUGCUAACAUCUAACCGAACUCUGCCUCCCUUCCACAGUUUAAAACCAUUCCCCCUUGUCCUGUCACUAUCCAGCCUCGUCAACGGCCGUUCC
rnacentral:lncRNA from 1 species